rnacentral:lncRNA from 1 species
AUGGAUGUGUGGUCCGGGACGGGGGGCCCCGAGGGGGAGCCGACACGCUCGUUUAGGCASCAGCAGAAGGCGGCAAGGGAAGAGCCUUCCCCAGGCCGGAUAACCUUGGGAGGGCUGGGAGCCUCCUUGAAACCCCUCCGGCCGCGGGCGGGUGGGCGCUCGCCCGGCUCCGCUCCCGGCUGGCUGCGGGCGAGGGAGGCGCAGGAGGUGCGGACGCCUGCUGCCGCUUCCAACGAGCCCAAAGGUCGAAAAAGUGGCGUGAAAAGCGAGCCCGGGUCUCGGCUCGCAGCCGGACGGGAUAACGGGGGGUUGAUUAAGCAGGCUGUGCUUGGAAGGAGUAAUGGGGCAUUUCCCUCUGGGAUUGGUGGAGCUGCUUGGAAGGGACCACGGCCGCGCGCGGCAGCCGCCGGGGCAGAGGGGGCUUUGAAGCGUCGCUCAGCCGGGCCGGUGCCGUUUGCUUGCCGUGUGCCGGCCCCACUGCAGCUCCCGGCCUCCUUCGGGGCUCUUCCCGCGCGGCCGCACGCCCCCGAGCCCCACAGCGAGCCAGGAUCUGCCUGGGACCUCGCGGCCGCGGUGGCGGCUGGCGUCUCCCCUGCGGGGCUGCGGCGGGAGCGCGAGGGGCUCCUCGGAGCGGGCAUCUGCUCCGGCUCGGGAGCGGAGCGCCCAGCCGCGGGGAGCGGCAGAUUAAUCAGCAGGAGAAAAUAUUCCAGUCGCUCGCAGAAAAGGAGGAGAAGGAAUUCCUGUCCGUGUUGCAGCAGAACAAGGCUCCCGCGCCGCCUGCGUGCGUUUCACGGGCAGCUGCAUUCAAACGUUAACCAAACCCCGCGUCCGCCACGCCGGAGGAGGCGCGUGCACGUGUCUGUCCGUCUAUCCGGCUCGCCGGCAAUGCGGCUGCGGGAGAGCUUUGCCGUGGGGCCCUUGCGUUGCUUUCCUCGGACGUGUCGGAGCCUGGGAGCCCCUUGCGGGCUGCGACCGUCCCUUUGCAGCCCCGGCGYGGCGGCGAGGAAGCGAACCUUGCCGUUCCCACUGCUGCCGUUUGGAAAAGGAGCCAGCAAGGAAAAGAGCGUGAUAUUUUGUUUCAUUUAUUUAUUUAUUUAUUUUAAACUCACAGGAAGCACUUGUGCAUUGAGGAGCGAGAAAAUAAAUAAGGCAGCAGGAAGGCUGCUCCCGCGUGGGACGGGACGGGACGGGAUGGGACGCGCUCGGCGCCUGCGGCAUUCCUGGCAGUCCCUGCUCCGCCGUGUCCCGGCUUGGCGGGGGCUCCGGGUCCCGCGGGCACCUGGCGGUGCCCUGCACUGGCCGGAGCUGCGGAGCUGCUGA